CUGUACUAGUACUUUAUUUGGAACAUGACCUUAUCAAGACCCCAAACCCACAGAUUAGAAGAGACUGACUGGCUACAGUAAGGGCCACUGUCUGUGACUGUGUGUGGGUGGGCCCCUCAGAACUGGUAUGAACUGAUCCAUUGCUAGGCCACUUGAAGAAGAUGGUGCAUGUAUGAAACACAUCAUGUGAUGUAAACUGCAGUAGUUAGGAUGUCCUCAGCCUGCCAACACUACCAAGAAAAUGCAUGGAAGGGAGGGGUGUGUUGCAAUUGCUUUUUACCCCAAGCAGAGCACGAGAGACAUCGCCCUCGGAGACCAACUCCAAAACAACGCCCCUCCCAGACCCCACCAGAAAUCCCCUCUCCAACUGCCACCACAACCAAUGGUACAUGCUCAGCACAGUUUCAACCAAAUGGUGAACAAUCUUCACUAACACAAUCUAAUGAAGGCACACCAGCCAAUGUGUCACAGUCGG